UGAGGUAUGGCGUAGUUGGUUAGCGCACCGUGCUUUUAACACGGGAGUCCUGGGUUCGAACCCCAGUGCCUCAA
rnacentral:tRNA from 1 species